rnacentral:rRNA from 1 species
CAUAUGGAUUCCUACGGGAGGCAGCAGUGAGGAAUAUUGGACAAUGGAUGGAAAUCUGAUCCAGCCAUGCCGCGUGCAGGAAGACGGCCCUAUGGGUUGUAAACUGCUUUUGUAUGGGAGCAAUAAGGUCUAUGCGUAGACUGAUGAGAGUACCAUACGAAUAAGCAUCGGCUAACUCCGUGCCAGCAGCCGCGGUAAUACGGGGGAUGCAAGCGUUAUCCGGAUUUAUUGGGUUUAAAGGGUGCGUAGGCGGUUUGAUAAGUCAGCGGUGAAAUAUUUCAGCUUAACUGAAAGGGUGCCGUUGAUACUGUCAGGCUUGAAUAUGGUUGCUGUGGGUGGAAUGUGUGGUGUAGCGGUGAAAUGCUUAGAUAUCACACAGAAUAUCGAUUGCGAAGGCAGCUCACAAAGCCAUUAUUGACGCUGAUGCACGAAAGCGUGGGGAUCAAACAGGAUUAGAUACCCUGGUAGUCCACACUGUAAACGAUGAUAACUCGCUGUCGGCGAUACACAGUCGGUAGCCAAGCGAAAGCGAUAAGUUAUCCACCUGGGGAGUACGACCGCAAGGUUGAAACUCAAAGGAAUUGACGGGGGCCCGCACAAGCGGAGGAACAUGUGGUUUAAUUCGAUGAUACGCGAGGAACCUUACCCGGGCUCGAACGGUGCAGGAAUACGUCAGAGAUGAUGUAGCUAGCAAUAGUCUGUAUCGAGGUGCUGCAUGGUUGUCGUCAGCUCGUGCCGUGAGGUGUCGGCUUAAGUGCCAUAACGAGCGCAACCCUUGUCGUUAGUUGCCAUCAGGUAAUGCUGGGAACUCUAGCGAGACUGCCACCGUAAGGUGUGAGGAAGGGGGGGAUGACGUCAAAUCAGCACGGCCCUUACGUCCGGGGCGACACACGUGUUACAAUGGUAGGUACAGAGGGCAGCUACACGGCGACGUGAUGCCAAUCCCUAAACCCCCUCUCAGUUCGGAUCGGAGUCUGCAACCCGACUCCGUGAAGCUGGAUUCGCUAGUAAUCGCGCAUCAGCCAUGGCGCGGUGAAUACGUUCCACGGGCCUUGUACACACCUGCC